UCUUUUUGUUGUUGUUGUUGUUGCUAUUUCUUGGGCCGCUCCCGCGGCAUAUGGAGGUUCCCAGGCUAGGGGUCGAAUCGGAGCUGUAGCCACCGGCCUACGCCAGAGCCACAGCAACGCGGGAUCCGAGCCGCGUCUGCAACCUACACCACAGCUCACGGCAACGCCGGAUCGUUAACCCACUGAGCAAGGGGCAGGGACCGAACCCGCAACCUCAUGGUUCCUAGUCGGAUUCGUUAACCACUGCGCCACGACGGGAACUCCUAAAUUCUUUUUAAAUAAGAGACCUCAGCCAGAAUCUAGUUGCUUAUGUGAGCUUUAUCAAAGGGAUUCAAGUCUGAUGGAGUCCUUUUUGUGUCUGAAACCCCUCACCACUGUACAAGGGCAGGAAAGUGACAAGAGGACAACUUUUUCAGAUUUUUAGCUAGUUCCUUUUCUUAAGCCAAGCUGCAGAUUUCACAGAUAGAACCUUACAUGCAGUAUUUUGGCUGUUUAUGGUGGCUCUCAAUGGGUGGGAGGACUAAGGAGAAAGAGCAUUGGAGAAAAAACUAAGAGAUAUUUUCUGAGCCUUAAAAUUGCCAUAGUGAGAUUACCUCUACUUAUGCAAAUCAUUUACCUUUUCUCUGUUACUAUAAGAAGCAAACACUUGCUUUGAGAUAUAUUUACUUAGAGAAAAAUGGUGACUAAUUUGUCAGCCAAAAUAUCAGGAACUAAAAGGAAUUAUAUUAGUCCUAAAAGCAAUUAGAUGGGGAGUAUGAAGCAAGAGAAAUAAAAGAAAGACUUCACUUUAGUAUUCUGUAAAAUGGAGCAUACAAGUCUUUAUAGCAUGGAAAUGCAAAUUAAAAUAUUAAAUACUAUUUUAUAGCUUUCCAGUUGAAAAGGUUUAAAAUAGUGAGUAUAGCCAAGGAUGUGGAUCAGUGGAAACUCUCACAUACUCCUAAGGAAGCACAGGCCAGUUACAUAAUAUCUUAUAAAAUGAAAUGUAUGCAUGCCCUCCAGUGGAGUUCAGGGAAAGCCAGAGGAUAAUUAGGGCACUGCUUUGUUUGUUUUAUUUUCUUACAUGAUGGAAUAUACAUGAUAAUGAAACUUCAAGGUCAAAUGUCCUUUAUCCUAAGACUCAAGAGAGAGGUUCUGGAGCACUGGUGUACAAGGGCAGGGUAAUGGCAGCAUUUAUCCUCUGCCCAUGUAAUAAGGGGUACAUUGUCAGUAGAGCAUAUAAAAACAAAAUUAUAACCAACUGAAAGUCAGUCUGCUUUCUUAUUAUCACCAUAUGCCAGUAUUUCUGAGCAGUAAUCCUCCUUGGAAAAAAAAAGGCUUUUGUUUUUCUAAGGUUUUGUUUUGUUUUGUUUUUUAAAUAGUUGCUGUGAUUAUUGCACAUUUUAAAACUACUUUACUUAUCCUUUGGUUAUCAUGUUUUCCACAUGGAAGUUAAUUCAUGAACUUUUCAGUUAUGAAGUCAAUUCCCAGCAAUCUGGGCUUGGCUACAUUAUACACCAGAGGAUAAUGGGAUUGAAGGGGGGUUUUCUAGAACAGGGUAUUUCUCGCCAAAUUGGUAGAUGAAAGGAAGGAUCCAGUGUAAAGGGAGGGACUAAAUUAGAGAAAGGGUGGUAUAUAGUUCAUGCAUAAAAGUCUGUAGGCUUCUGUAGUUGUGACUUGCUCUUGGGUGACUCUGGGCCUUACCAUGACUUUGCUUGAUGAAUGGGAUGAAAACCCUUGAGAUGCAAACAGAGACUUGUAAAGUGCUUGCACAGAGGGACUUGCUGUCUUUUGUGGCCCUUGGGAGGGGGAUCCUACAAUUGCUAACAUGUGAAUGGGACUAAGCUAUACUUCUGGAUGAUGAAUGACACAUGGCUUAGCUACUUUUAUUACCCUAGCUGAUAUCAGCUCAAUUUGCAGACAUGUAAGGCCAUUAGAAAUCAUUCAGUCCCAGAGAAGCCUCCAAGUGGUCACUGAGGUAUGAGUGAGUGAGUAUGCUGAAAUUAGCCAGCCUAGCUCAUAUGACCAGAAACAUCUAGCUUACCUUUAGACUUGUGAGCUGUGAUGUAUGAUUGUUGUUUUAUGACACUGAGUUUUGUCGUGGUUUGUUACACAGCGAAAGCUAACUGAUAAAACUCCUUGAGUAGGUGAGUGAGGAUAGAAUAGAAGUCAGAGGUAGAAGGGACAGAUUAAUCUUGGAUAUUACACACACAUAUAUAUAUAAAAUAUGUAACUAUAUAUAGUAUAUAUCAUAUAUAACUACUAUACAUAUAUAUAUAAUAUAAAACUAUAUUCAAAUUCCCCAGCCUACACACAAACACACACACACACACACACACACACGUAUACACACUCAUUCCCCUACUUCCCUUCAGGGUCAGGGAAAGAAUGUAGGCUCUGAGCUGAAACUACCUAAAUUGAAAUCCUUUCUUGGUUCUUUACUGGUUGCGUGAUCUUAGGCACAUGUCAUAUUCAUCUAUAAAACAGAGACAAUAGUAGUUACUUCAUAAUUUUGAAAAAAUUAACAUAUAUGUAAGGACCUAGCUCAUAAUAAACACCUUUUAAAUGCUAGCUGUAUAGGUACCCAGAUGAAGAUACAACAUAAUUUGAGAUGAAUUGACAGGGAAAGAUGAGGGAAUGUGUAUCGGUUAACAUCAAAAUCCUCAAGAAUGCAGAUAUAGGAUGUCAUCAGAGUGUAAAAGGUAGAGCAUUAAGAAUUUGAGGAUAAAGAAAAUUAAUGGUGGUAAAAAUUUAGGAAGGUGAUUAGAGAGGAAUUUUUAAAAAAUGGUUGCAUAGCGGUGAUAGUCUAAUUGAGGUUAAAAAGAACAAAUUUAUGGGGGAUACACUCCGUAUCUUUUAAUUUUCUAACAUAGUGCUCUGUAGCUCAGGAGUAGAAUUGGGGAGAACAAAUAACGGGAUUAUUGGUGACAGAUACAGAAAUGAUGGCACCAAUGGAGGUAAUAUUAGAAAUAGCUGCCAUGGGGCCUGAGAGUUGUCUUGGAGGCAAGAGACUGUUUAGUUGAGAGAAUGGAAUGGGGUCAAAGGGCAAGGAGCAGACAUCCUACAGACCUACUUGAAAGUAGGAAGCUACACUUUCUUAGUUGGAGGCUAGUAUCAUUUUAUCCUUGGUGACUUGUUCCAUUGCCUGUAGCCAAUGACCUUAUGAUCAUAUGAUUUUGUGUAGUUUUCUUUCAGGAAGACUUAUUUUCUGAGGUUCUACAAGGGGACACCAAACUUUAAAAGAGAGCUCUGGCUUUAAAAUUCAGCCCAUCGUGGUAGCUAUCCUCUAAGGAGGCUAUGUUUAUUGGAUCAUCUGUCUCAGCUAUUAAAACUUUUCUGCAAGCAACCGUUAUUAUCCUUGCAUGUCAGGAUGUCAAAAAGAGGAUUUUCUCUAUCAUUCAGGUGUGCUUCCAGGGGUACACGUGAAUCUAGCCAUAUUGGAGCAUCCCCUGCUCUCCCGAGUAAGCCCGUGAACUCCUGCUCCCCCUCUCUGCCUUCUUAGGUUUUGUACAUUUUCCACACACAGCUCAUGCUCUCAGCCCCACAGUGCUUUCCAGUUUUUCCAGCCUGACAUAAUGUCUUCCUUCUCAGAACCAUUAUAGCAACUCAUCUGACUCUUACUAUGUUCUUUUAUUCCAGUUUUUUUUUUUAAAAACCAGUGCUUAAGAAGUAAUAGAUUUUAAAGCUAGAAGCUUUCAGAGAACACAUAGUUCAGCCUCCUCGUUUUGUCGAUGAGGAAAUUGAAACCCAGAGAUAUUUAGUAAGUGACAGAACCGAGCCUAGAAUCCAGCCUGCCUUUGUCAUUAUUUGGUGAUUUUUCUUUUGUUAUCUUUAUGUCCUAAGAGGACAUCAAGUUCUUCAGAACAAGAACUUUUUUGAAUCUAUAGCGUUUACAUGGUGGGAUCCUUAAUAGAUGUUCAUCCAUAAUGACAUGGUGCUCUACCAAACAACAUGAGACAGCUGAAAGAGAAAGCAUUUCUUAUGCAGGAAGAUUUUACAGUUUAAAAAAAUCACUAUUGUUUUUCAAUCCCUUAGAUGUAUAAAGUUUUCCAAAUAAAAGAAAAAGAAAGUUUUUGUUUGUUAUAUACAGUUUUGUUCCCAUAACUCCUGCUGCUAAGGGUGGUCUUCUUUAAGAUGUAUAUGGACCAAUUCUGACCAAUUUAGGUUUGAAUUCCAGCAGAAGAAAAUUCCUCCGUCUAGCCCUUUAGUCAGUUAACUGGAAGAAGCUUACCUUUGUGGUUAUUGAUUUUAAUUUCAUUUCAGAAAGAGAGAAUGUCAAGAAGUCAAUUUAAUAAACAAAAGCAUUUAUACAAUUUAACUUAAUUCGGCAAUGUGGAUGGGAAGAAAAUGGAGCCUAAUAAAAGCAAAUAUAAACACAUAUUGGGAACUGAACGAGUAUUGCUACCACAAGUUACCAAUUCCCCCCAUUUUUAAUUAUAAAAAACAAAAUCACCCUACAACCCAAGAUUAGCCAGCACCUAGAUGUGGCCUGGCACUCAUCACCUUGAACUUCCUCACUGAAUCCAUUUGAAAACUGAGCAUGGAGCCUGCAUUCUCAUUCCAACUAGUCCACCUGUGACCACUUUAAGAAGACAUUCCCCAGAAUGGCUCAAGCAAAGCUUGCUGUGAACACUAUCACGAUUUAAUCAACACUCUACACAUGCAUUUCAAGGUGGCUGUUCUGAAAUCCCGGGAAAGGUUUGUAAGCUUCCUGAAAUAGAAAAAUUCUUCUAGUAGUUCUCAGCUGGGGUAUUCUGGCCAUACAGGCCUCUUUCCUUCUCUCCACCUCAGCUUUCCUCUUUCCUCUUCCUCCCUCCCUUUAGAGAAACGACAGACACUAUCCACUUGCAAUUAGUUCUCCUAAUUUCACCCACAGGAGCUGAAAAUCUAAAGAAAACACAUUUAUUUGUUUAAAAGGCAACUUGCAGACAUCAUUUUCACAUAAAAAUGUUCUCACCCUCUUGGUCCUACUCCACUGUGUAUUUUUCUUCCAGACUUGUUCUUCCCCAAAUGACUAUAGCUUUUGCUGGCAUUUCUCUGAAAGUAUCUUUAAGACCUCUUUUAGAUGCAGAAAAGCUACCUGAAUUUGUAGGCAGCUUCCUGUUGGGCUCACGUUUUGCAGAAUGCAUGCUUGGUAUGCAGAAGGUGGGGAAGGUGUUUGAAAAAACAGGAAGCACCUGUGAAUGUGUGACUUUAUUCUUGGAAGCAGAAGGCUCCUUCUGAGAUGGCUGUAGAUGCUUCCUUCUGUUUCACCUAUGAGCACUUUUGCAAACCUUUUAGAUACUCUAAAGACCAUGAAUGGGCUUCUGAAUGGCACGAUUAUUUACACAGUCUGGUGCAUCCAUAGGCAUGGUGGAGAUCCGUAGUUUUUCUGCUUUUCCCUGUUCAGGUUUCUCUUUUUGCUGGGGAUAUUGAUAUGCAUGGAACGUCUGCAAGAGCCUUGGUGUCCUCACCUCCAACCGAAGGAUGAGAAAUGAGAUCAUGCAGCCUAGAAGUGACACACAUCACUUGUGCUUGCAUUCCAUUGGUAAGAAGUGGUCACAUAAUCUCUGGCUGAGUGACAACUCCACAUUCUGGAAGAUGAAGCACAAAUUGUACGUGGAGAGGUGGUCUUCUCUACCACUGAUUGCAGCUCAGCAAGCGGAUGGCAAGAAGGAAAACAGAGAAACAAGAUCAAAACACCUAUUGCAUCUUGGAAACCUGGGGAUGUUCAGACCCCUCAAGACAACUUUGAAGUUGAUUCUUCAAAAGCUAGAAAAAUGUAAUUGGCACCUGGAUGGACACAUUUAUAGGAGCACCUUUGGUUGUCAGUCAUAAUCAUAAAUUGUCUUAUUGUUCUGCUAUGUAUGUUAAAGUGAAAAUUUUGAGAUUAUCCAAUAAAUUAUUGCAGAAUUUCAUUUACUUUUUUACAGCUCUAUUUUAAAGAUGGAGUUAGAAAAUACUCAGGAAAUAGCUCUUAUCUUAACAAAUACCUUAAAGAAGAGACAUGUGAAAAAGCAUAAACUUUGGUAAAAGGAUCAAGAAUUCAUAUAUUUCAUACUGCCAUUGUAUCACUGGAGUUUCAAUAUAAAUGUUCUCCCUCCCUGCCCUCCGCAAAAUGUAAAGCUGUUUCAAAUGCCUGCAGAGAGAUGUGCCAACAGCACCAGAAUGCUGUGCCUGAUCACACGCAGUAAUUCUGUGCCAGAAUACAUGCCAGACUGCACACAGCAUUGUCCUGGGCACUGUUCUCUGUUCUCUUCUCUUUUAUUACAAUCUUAAGGGAGAGGUGUGAGUUGACUUUCAACUAUAUCCCAGCUGUUGAAAUUCAUGUUAAGGGAGUUCCCGUUGUGGCUCAGUGGUUAACGACUCCAACUAGGAACCAUGAGGUUGUGGGUUCGAUCCCUGACCUUUCCCAGUGGGUUAAGGAUCCAGUGUUGCCAUGAGCUGUGGUGUAGGCUAGCAGCUACAGCUCCGAUUAGACCCCUAGCCUGGGAACCUCCAUAUGCCCCAGGAGCGGCCCCAGAAAGGCAAAAAGACCAAAAAAAAGAAAAUCAUGUUAAAAUAUGUUGAAUUCUGGGAGUUCCUAAACCCGACUAGUAUCUAAGAGGACGCAGGUUCGAUCCCUGGCCUCAGUCAGUGGGUUAAGGAUCAGGCAUUGCUGUGAGCUGUGGUGUGGGUCGCAGAGUAGCUUGGAUCUGGUGGUGUUGUAGCUGUGCUAUAGGCUGGUAGCUGCAGCUCAGAUUAGACCCCUAGCCUGGGAACUUCCAUAUGCUGAGGAAGGAAGGAAAUUUUAGCUGAGAGACCAGCUCUCUGUGGCAAUGAGACAGUAAGCAAUUUGUUUCAGAAACAUAAAUGCAAGUGCAAAGCUCCUUAAAUAUACAGUAAAUUGAAGCCAGCAGGACAUUAACAAGUCAACGUCAAAUUAUGCAAAGGUAUUUCAACAUUGGCACAUCUAUCAGGGUAAUUCACUAAGCAAGGUGAUUAUAUCAGGAAACCUGAAGAACAAUUUCAAUCAAAUAUAAAACCCAUUCACGAAAAGGAGGAGGAAAAGCCUUUUAGGAACUAGAAAUAGACGGAAAUUUCCUUAACUUAAUGUAGGCCAUCUACAGCAGACAGCUUUAGCAAACAUCUUAUGUAAGAGGGAAAUAUAAGGGAGUUUCCUCUGUGGCUCAGCAGGUUAAAAACCAGAUUAGUAUCCAUGAGGAUGUGGGU